AAAGCGUGCACAGGCGGUUAUGUAAGACAGAUGUGAAAUCCCCGGGCUCAACCUGGGAACUGCAUUUGUGACUGCAUGGCUAGAGUACGGUAGAGGGGGAUGGAAUUCCGCGUGUAGCAGUGAAAUGCGUAGAUAUGCGGAGGAACACCGAUGGCGAAGGCAAUCCCCUGGGCCUGUACUGACGCUCAUGCACGAAAGCGUGGGGAGCAAACAGGAUUAGAUACCCUAGU
rnacentral:rRNA from 1 species